CAUGCAAGUCGAACGAGAAAUCCUGGGCAACCGGGAGAGUAAAGUGGCGCACGGGUGAGUAACGCGUGGGUAAUCUGCCCUGGAGUUAGGAAUAACACCUCGAAAGGGGUGCUAAUACCCAAUAAUAUCUUCAGGACUUUGGUCCGGUGGAUUAAAGAAGGCUGAGGCUUGCAAGCUAUCGCUCCAGGAUGAGCCCGCGUACCAUUAGCUAGUUGGUAGGGUAAUGGCUUACCAAGGCAACGAUGGUUAGGUGGUCUGAGAGGACGGCCAGCCACACUGGAACUGAGACACGGUCCAGACUCCUACGGGAGGCAGCAGUGAGGAAUUUUGCGCAAUGGGCGAAAGCCUGACGCAGCGACGCCGCGUGGAGGAUGAAGGCCUUCGGGUUGUAAACUCCUGUCAGAGGAGAAGAAAUCCCGAGUAAUCGGGUUAGACGG
rnacentral:rRNA from 1 species